rnacentral:rRNA from 1 species
UACGUAGGGUGCAAGCGUUAAUCGGAAUUACUGGGCGUAAAGCGUGCGCAGGCGGUCGUGCAAGACAGAUGUGAAAUCCCCGGGCUCAACCUGGGAACUGCAUUUGUGACUGCAAGGCUAGAGUACGGUAGAGGGGGAUGGAAUUCCGCGUGUAGCAGUGAAAUGCGUAGAUAUGCGGAGGAACACCGAUGGCGAAGGCAAUCCCCUGGACCUGUACUGACGCUCAUGCACGAAAGCGUGGGGAGCAAACAGG